AACAACCCUCCUCUGAUUGGUUGAUUUCGUAUGUGUCCUGCAGUGGGAAGAGGAAGAUCAAGGUCCAAGGGUUCCAUCUGGAGUUUGUGGAGGGGGUUGUUCAUGACCACGCCCCUCAGACCAUCCAUACCAACUACAGCUCUGAGACUCUGUGGGUACCACACACCUCUCUUUGAACACAUUAACCAGCCAGUCACCUCCACUGUCUCUCUGAGAGUGGCCAACAGACACUGGCCUGCUCAUCACAGCUCACCUACCAUCCCGACCCAGAAUUCACCAGCUACACCGCAAUCAAGACAGGAAACGACCUGCAUGUCACCAGUGAGGUAUACACACAUGUGCACGCAUGCAUGCACCCAUACAUACACACAUACAUGCUCUCUUUUAUUUCAGAAAAAGACUGACAAUUUGGACAUCAACACAGCAGAGAUCUCAGUGUUGGUUGUUCAGGAGGAGAACCAGGAUGUAGAGUGUGUCAUGGACACCAUUGAGACGAGGGAAGGGACUGACUCUGUCAUCUGUGAGAUAAAGAACACUCCCAGUGCUAACAUCAAGUCAGUGAAGAUAAGAGUUGUCAAUGUCACAAUAAACCUUGAUUCAACACACACCGUACUGCUAGGACUC